GAUGAAGAACGUAGCGAAAUGCGAUACGUAAUGUGAAUUGCAGAAUUCAGUGAAUCAUCGAAUCUUUGAACGCAUAUUGCGCUCUCUGGUAUUCCGGAGAGCAUGCUUGUUUGAGUAUCAGUAAACACCUCAACUCCCUUUUCUUUUUUGAAAUUGGAGCUGGACUUGAGUGAUCCCAACGCUUUCUUCCAAGAAAGUGGCGGGUUGCUUGAAAUGCAGGUGCAGCUGAACUUUUCUCUGAGCUAUAAGCAUAUCUAUUUAGUCUGCCUAAAAAACAGAUUAUUACCUUUGCUGCAGCUAACAUAAAGGAGACUAGUUCUUGUGCUGUCUGCUGCAGGAUUCACAGAGACAGCUUCGGCUGACUUUGUAAACUCGAUCUCAAAUCAAGUAAGACUACCCGCUGAACUUAAGCAUAUCAAUAAGCGGAGGA
rnacentral:misc_RNA from 1 species